AGCGAACGCUGGCGGCAGGCUUAACACAUGCAAGUCGAGCGGGCACUUCGGUGUCAGCGACAGACGGGUGAGUAACACGUGGGAACGUACCCUUCGGUUCGGAAUAACGCUGGGAAACUAGCGCUAAUACCGGAUACGCCCUUUUGGGGAAAGGUUUACUGCCGAAGGAUCGGCCCGCGUCUGAUUAGCUAGUUGGUGGGGUAAUGGCCUACCAAGGCGACGAUCAGUAGCUGGUCUGAGAGGAUGAUCAGCCACACUGGGACUGAGACACGGCCCAGACUCCUACGGGAGGCAGCAGUGGGGAAUAUUGGACAAUGGGCGCAAGCCUGAUCCAGCCAUGCCGCGUGAGUGAUGAAGGCCUUAGGGUUGUAAAGCUCUUUUGUCCGGGACGAUAAUGACGGUACCGGAAGAAUAAGCCCCGGCUAACUUCGUG
rnacentral:rRNA from 1 species